rnacentral:rRNA from 1 species
ACCGGCCACAUUGGGACUGAGACACGGCCCAAACUCCUACGGGAGGCAGCAGUGGGGAAUAUUGCACAAUGGGGGAAACCCUGAUGCAGCGACGCCGCGUGAGCGAUGAAGUAUUUCGGUAUGUAAAGCUCUAUCAGCAGGGAAGAAAAUGACGGUACCUGACUAAGAAGCCCCGGCUAACUACGUGCCAGCAGCCGCGGUAAUACGUAGGGGGCAAGCGUUAUCCGGAUUUACUGGGUGUAAAGGGAGCGUAGACGGCGAUGCAAGCCAGAUGUGAAAGCCCGGGGCUCAACCCCGGGACUGCAUUUGGAACUGUAUAGCUAGAGUGUCGGAGAGGCAGGCGGAAUUCCUAG